CAGCCGCCGCGGUAAUACAGAGGGUGCGAGCGUUAAUCGGAUUUACUGGGCGUAAAGCGUGCGUAGGCGGCUUCUUAAGUCGGAUGUGAAAUCCCUGAGCUUAACUUAGGAAUUGCAUUCGAUACUGGGAAGCUAGAGUAUGGGAGAGGAUGGUAGAAUUCCAGGUGUAGCGGUGAAAUGAGUAGAGAUCUGGAGGAAUACCGAUGGCGAAGGCAGCCAUCUGGCCUAAUACUGACGCUGAGGUACGAAAGCAUGGGGAGCAAACAGGAUUAGAUACCCCUGUAGUCCCUGUCUCUUAUAC
rnacentral:rRNA from 1 species